UACGGAGGGAGCUAGCGUUAUUCGGAAUUACUGGGCGUAAAGCGCACGUAGGCGGCGAUUCAAGUCAGAGGUGAAAGCCCGGGGCUCAACUCCGGAACUGCCUUUGAAACUAGAUUGCUAGAAUCUUGGAGAGGCGAGUGGAAUUCCGAGUGUAGAGGUGAAAUUCGUAGAUAUUCGGAAGAACACCAGUGGCGAAGGCGACUCGCUGGACAGACAUUGACGCUGAGGUGCGAAAGCGUGGGGAGCAAACAGG
rnacentral:rRNA from 1 species